rnacentral:tRNA from 1 species
GUGGGUAUAGUUCAGUUGGUAGAGUGUGUGGUUAGCAUGCAUGAGGUCCUGGGUUCAAUCCCCAGUGCCUCCA